GAACCCACGCCACUCCUUCCAGUUCCAGGUUUCCACAGAUGCAGCUCCAGUCGUACGAGGAGACGUCCAGACCUUCACCAUCGGAGUCCUGCCUCAGAUCCCAGGGUUCCCUCAGCUCGACCCAGACUCUGACCUCCAGAUCACAGCUCUGGAGGAUCGUGUGACAGAAAUAACACCGUCAGCUCUGUCCUUCAUCGACUCUGACACUCCCAGUGAGAAGCUCAUCUACAACAUCACCAAACCACUGCCACCAGG